UACUCGGCAGGAUCCUGCUUUGGCAGCUCUCUGCUGCCUAAUGGAGAGAUCUGUGAGAGGGGAUGUUUUAGGAAACCAGCAGUAUGCACUGAAUACCUGCCUGUGUUUCUGACUGCAAGGGAUUUGCAGAGGGGAAAUAAGAAGAAGAAAUCCAGAGUUUCCAGGGGGACUGUCCAUGUGAAGGAGACCCAGCAGCAUCUCUCCCUCGACCUCAUCGCCUGUGCAGCAGGAAUGAAGCUGCAAAGCUCAUGAGCAAGAGUAAAGACUUCAAGAAUGAAAACUCUGUCUCAAAACAGUAACAGAACCAGCACAAUCUGACAGAAGAAAUUAAAAUUGCAGACUCCCAAGGGAUUCAUUUCAACUGCAUUUGAGCUUUUUUCCUCCUAGUUCUGACUUCCUAAGUUACGGAAGACAAGAACUAUAAAAUAAACGCCCUCCCCUUCACCUCCAGCACUGGCACCACCUUGGAGGGCUGCACCAGACCUGGGAAAACAGGGAGACAUCAACCUGCGAUUGCAAACCACUUCCAGAAAUGCCUCGAUAUACAGAAACUCCUGUAAUCACAUUUAUCACGUUUGGUUUCCCAGUUUUUCAGCAGAGGAGCACCUGGAAUCCCACAGACAAAGGCUGGUCCAGCCCUGCCGGGGCAUCUCCUCCACCCACAGCCAGAGCAGAGAACUACCCCGUGAGGACGUGUUAAAAAUGCACCCCUGAGACACCCACCCCUUCCACCUGGGCGACAAAAAGCCACGUGCAGAUUUGCAGCUGCUUGGUUGGGGGAAAGAAAAAAAAUCUGAUUAAAAAUGUAAUUGCCUCUGAACUGCAGGGCCUCCAGUUUGUCCCUGUCCUGUGGCGGGGCAGCUUCAGAAACCAGGUCUGCAUUUUCUGUCACAACAAUUGUUUCCGCCUCAGUUACCUGGUCCAGUCAAAAUUUACACAACAUUUACAGCCAGAGCUAUAAAAGAUCUCGAAGCAGAUUUCUACCAGCCCUCUUGAGCAUCUCCCCUGCCCCAGGAGCGCCUGCUCCUCCCUGACCCCCCUUCCCACUCUCAAGCCCUCGACACCUCUAGAGAGGGGACCAGCCAAGGCUUUGCUCCACAGAACAAGCUCCUCAAGGUCUCUCCAUCCUUUCCUGUCCCCUCCCUCUGCCACCCCGCCGUGCCUGGAGAACAGCCUGCACCUUCGUCAUGUGUGGGGAGCUCAGUGCAGGGGUUCAGAUCCUUCUGCCCCGCGGCUUUGGCGCUGCCGGGGCCCAGGGCCAGGGCAGGGCGACAGCUCUGCGCUCCCAGAAGCGACAACACGGUCUUAAACACCAAAGCAAGAACACCACCAGUAAACAGAGAAGAAAAAAAAAAAAAAAAGGAAGAAAAAAGGGGAAAAAACCACACCAAAAAAGUGAAAAGGAAGGAAAAAAAGAGAGAAACAACCCCAAGGACCUUUUAACUGCUCUGUCCCAGGACCGCACGAGGGUGUCAGAAAAAGAGGGAUUUGUUCCCCCUUUCUCUGGCGAGAAG